CUACGUGCCAGCAGCCGCGGUAAUACGGAAGGUCCAGGCGUUAUCCGGAUUUAUUGGGUUUAAAGGGAGCGUAGGCCGUGGAUUAAGCGUGUUGUGAAAUGUAGACGCUCAACGUCUGAAUUGCAGCGCGAACUGGUUCACUUGAGUAUGCACAACGUAGGCGGAAUUCGUCGUGUAGCGGUGAAAUGCUUAGAUAUGACGAAGAACUCCGAUUGCGAAGGCAGCUUACGGGAGCACAACUGACGCUGAAGCUCGAAGGUGCGGGUAUCAAACAGGAUUAGAUACCCUGGUAGUCCGCACAGUAAACGAUGGAUGCCCGUUGUUAGUUCACUUAAGAAUUAGCGACCAAGCGAAAGCAUUAAGCAUCCCACCUGGGGAGUACGCCGGCAACGGUGAAACUCAAAGGAAUUGACGGGGGCCCGCACAAGCGGAGGAACAUGUGGUUUAAUUCGAUGAUACGCGAGGAACCUUACCCGGGCUUGAA
rnacentral:rRNA from 1 species